rnacentral:lncRNA from 1 species
CUUGCAAUUUCCCAAUGCUUCAGAGAGACCGAGUCGGCAACCAGAGGAUCUCUGACCCUCCUGAGAAGAAGCACGGCAAUUCUGGCACCUGCCCUGCCCACAGGUUCAGUGGCUGUGGUGAGGAGCAGGGCUCAAAAUAUCACACAGAAAUGUGAAAUGCUUAGAUUUCCCCUGCUAGUCCUGCAGCACACUGUUCACAUGCAUUUGGCCUCUGGUGUUGUGCAUAUUAUCAGGUCAAAAUACAUCAUUCCGAGACAGAUAGGUACGUUUAUAGUAGCAUCCUGGGGGAUAAAAUAGGUUAACUGAGAGUCUGAGAGAGUUUUCACCUGAGGUUUCUGAGGAUGUAGAAGCUGAUAUAAAAUACCAGGCAUGUAAGCCUCCCUAGGGAAAGGCACCACCUUCCUUCUUUUAAUUAGUUUCUGAAGUUAUUUUAAAUAUAAAGAGUGCCUUUUGGAAUAUGGCUACAUCCCCAAAAGAGGUGCUUAGCAUUCCAGAUGCACUGGUGUAAAGUCUAGAGGAUGAAAGGCUACUAGCCAGAAAUGUGGUAAUGCUUUUUAAAAUAAAUAUAUAAAACAAGUUUAUUGGCCAGACACUUUUCUUUUCUAUCACAGUAUAUCCAUUAGUAAUUCUGAAUUCCAGAUGUGCAAUGACAAUGCAUACAUAUAUUUUUCAGACCCGGUGCCCGGUCAGAACUCAUAUGUUGUCGCAGAGGAGCCUCUGGACUGCAGUCAGGGAGCAAAUAACUUUACAGCUUAUCCAUUGCACAGCUGCAUGCCCUGGUUUAUAGACCCUUCAUAACAGUUUGACUCUGAGAACACACAACUAAAGAAAAAAAAAUACGUGGUUUUUUUUUUUUUUUUUCCUAUCGUAACUUCUCCAAGUUUUCUGAUGGGAAUGCAGUUUGGAAAAGGGAGAGGGCUGGUCUUGAGUCUUCACCUCUUGCGAGUUUCUUCACAGGAAAUGAAGACUGACAGCUGCACCACGUUACUCAGCUAUCUGAUGAGACAGACCUCUGCUGGGAAACCCCGAAAGGAGCACAGUCUACAUGAGGUGUCAUGCCAGCGAGGGCCACUGCUCCCAGCUCCACGUGGAUUAUUUUUGAGCAGGACACGUCCAUCGGCAGAGAGUUUGAGCUCUGCAACCCGUGAUGAGACAGAAGAAGAAAAACAGCAGGAUAUGGGUCUUGAGAAGAAAGUUAAACCGUUUAAGUUACCUGCUUCUUACACUUAGAGCCCACUUCUACAAACACAGCUUACUGUGUUGAGGCAUCGUAAGCUCAGGAAGUCCCAAGGCAAGGCUCACAGAAAGGAUUUAUUCCAAUGGCUCUUCUGGGCCUUGCUGCCUUCAGACGAUCACAAAUCGCAGCAGUGUGUGGCAGCGGGGGAUCACCUCUUGUUAGGCUGUGUAAAGUCCCUGCUGAGGUGCACCAGCUAAGCUGUGGUUCGGCUGGUGUUACACCUCUGUCUUGAGCUGAAGGAGUCUGUAUUCCUCAUCCUCUGGUUGGGGGGAGGACCAUCAGAUUUCUGGCAUUCAUAACAUCAAUUGUUAAAGCAGUGGUGGAAACAGAAAUGGCUGGUUGCAGCAGUUCUCCAUGGUAAAGGCUUGCUUUUCCCUGUUCAUCACAUAAAGUAGCAUUAGGGGUGUCCUGAGGUUCUUCAGGUAACACUUCAUACCCUUGCUAAAAAAAUGUAUACAGUACUACCAGUGUUGAUGAGGGCAAUGACCAAAACAGGCUGGGAGGCUGCAGAUGAGAUGCCAAAUAAUUUUUUUAAUCCUGCCUACCCGAGUGAAAGUACAGAGAGUCUUCUCAUGUCUUUGAAUUUUGUAGAGAUGUCUAUACUGAGCUUUAUGUUGUACAAAACCUUGGUAAGAAGUAUUUCAGCUAUCAGCUGGGAGAAUUUUGCAAAUCCUUGCCACUGAUGUAGAGUGCAUCUGGGGGUGU